UACAGAGGGUGCAAGCGUUAAUCGGAAUUACUGGGCGUAAAGCGCGCGUAGGCGGCUGCCUAAGUCGGGUGUGAAAGCCCCGGGCUCAACCUGGGAACUGCACUCGAUACUGGGCGGCUAGAGUAUGAGAGAGGGAGGUAGAAUUCCGCGUGUAGCAGUGAAAUGCGUAGAUAUGCGGAGGAACACCGAUGGCGAAGGCAAUCCCCUGGGCCUGCACUGACGCUCAUGCACGAAAGCGUGGGGAGCAAACAGG
rnacentral:rRNA from 1 species